rnacentral:rRNA from 1 species
AUUGAACGCUGGCGGCAUGCCUUACACAUGCAAGUCGAACGGCAGCACGGGUGCUUGCACCUGGUGGCGAGUGGCGAACGGGUGAGUAAUACAUCGGAACAUGUCCUGUAGUGGGGGAUAGCCCGGCGAAAGCCGGAUUAAUACCGCAUACGAUCCACGGAUGAAAGCGGGGGGCCUUCGGGCCUCGCGCUAUAGGGUUGGCCGAUGGCUGAUUAGCUAGUUGGUGGGGUAAAGGCCUACCAAGGCGACGAUCAGUAGCUGGUCUGAGAGGACGACCAGCCACACUGGGACUGAGACACGGCCCAGACUCCUACGGGAGGCAGCAGUGGGGAAUUUUGGACAAUGGGCGAAAGCCUGAUCCAGCAAUGCCGCGUGUGUGAAGAAGGCCUUCGGGUUGUAAAGCACUUUUGUCCGGAAAGAAAUCCUUGACUCUAAUACAGUCGGGGGAUGACGGUACCGGAAGAAUAAGCACCGGCUAACUACGUG